rnacentral:rRNA from 1 species
CACUGACCUCGGAUCAGGUAGGGAUACCCGCUGAACUUAAGCAUAU